rnacentral:lncRNA from 1 species
UUGCUCCUAUAAAUAUACGUAAACUCUUGUGGUUUUGACGCAAGAAAGCCAACAAGAAAAACAAUAGUGAUACACUUGGUGAGUGAGUGAGACAAAGUUGUGUAAUAGUGCUUCUGGCGCUCCAGUUCUAUAAUCACGGAGUAUUAUAGGCACUUGGUAUUCCACCGUGUAUUCAACUACAUUUAAGCAAGAGUCUUGAUGUAAGUUAUAGGCGAUGAAGAAAGGUAAUUUUGUAUUGUCUCAUUAUAAG